rnacentral:lncRNA from 1 species
UUGUCAACUUUGAAAUAUCGAAUGCUCGGAAGAUGAAAAUGCGGUUACGGAGGCACGGUUAUCUCAGAAAUGGUUAUGCUGGAGGGGGAUAUCGUGGAAAUAAUUAUGCCGCAAAUGGUGAUCCCGGGAACGGUUAUCCUGGAUACCCUGGAAAUUAUUAUCCAGGGAAGAGUGCCCUCAGAGCGCCUCCGGCUGGUGGCGGGUCAAUGUCAAGGGGUCAUGAUCCUCCUGAUAACGACGGUGGUGGCCCAGGAGGCGGCCAAGGAAGAACCAGAGAUAUACUAAAAAGAUUGAGACAAUACACAACUCCUAUAGAGCAGCGCUAUAGUCCCAAUUUUGGAUAUGAACCGUAUUGGGAAGGAGGCGAUUGGAUUUUGGAGGACUUUGAACGAGCUAAAGAGAAAGCAACGUCGAAAAAAGUUGUAAAAAUCUGCGGGGAUGACUGUCCCUACAUGUAUAGAGAAGUGGGACAAGUGUGUACCCUGUACCCUUACAACGACCCCGCGUAUUUAGGUCAUAGCUGCGGAUACUACCACUGGCAUUUUAAUUGUUAUGGAUAUUACGAUGACAAACACGAUUACAGAACAUUCCCAACCUAUUGUGAAUUUUUAGACAAAAAAUGUAAACUCAGAAAUGAGAAGUUCGGAAGAAUAAUUUUCAUUCAUGUAGGCAAGUGUCUGAAAGAUGAAGAAGCAAUGCUAGAAAUGAGACCGGAAUGGUUAACUUAUGAUGCUCCUCCAAUGACCAGAUUGUCUACGUACAUCACAGGAAUUUAUAAUAGAUUUGUCUCUUACAAUGUUACUACGGAUUGGCCGUUUUACGAUUACACUACAACCACAUAGAUUACUAUCAGAAUUGUCAAAAGUGAGGAUUCAGGCUUGAAGGACAUGACAAAAUCCUCAUGACAAUAUAAUCAUGGUAUUCUGAAUGCGAGCCAUUGACAUAUAUAUAUAUAUAGGUUGCCUGGAAGAAAUUGCUGCAUGAGCAAUAAGGCCGCCUGUUGUGCUUUUCUGUAUAUGCUGUCCUCAGAACAAUAACUAAAGCAUAGAAGGAAGGCUAAAAUAAGAAUUCAGAAACUAUAAACCGGCUCUCUUCUAGCUUACGACCCAAACUAUGAGUGAGAAAAGGACAAAUGAUUCGCUCUUUGCUUCAUUUUUUCCGAGGUUGUCACAACAUGAAAUGUCAUUUGGACCUAUUGGACUCAUUUUAACUCGGCCAAAUACAUAGUAACAUACAUAAGAAGAUUUUACUUAUAUUUACCGAACUAUUUGACACGGUCGCGUGAACUUUGUUUACGAGUGUCUUGUGUUCAGAUUGUUUUAAGUGAUAAUUUAACAAUAUUUUUCCAAAUAAAUGGAAAGAAGCUUUUAUUUAUAUCAAAUAAUUGAGUGUCUCGACUCUGUGACAUUAUGUCUUGUGUGGUAUGGGGCUGCAGCUCACAUUCAGGAAGAAAAGAAAAUAGCCAACAACUUCUGUCGUUUCAUCGAUUUCCUGUAGACGAUAACAAAGAGAAAGAAUGGAUAAUUCGCAUUAAUAGACGAAAUUGGAUUCCAAAUACAUACAUACAUUGGCCUUAUACGUCUGUUUCAGACGAUUUAUGACGUCAUUGCCUCGAAGAAAUGCACUUUCUUUCUUUUUAUUCCAAAUAAGUACAGCCGUAUUUGCUCGAAACAUUUUACUGCGGAUUCAUUUAUGUGUGUUCCUAAUUCGAAGUGGAGACGUCUUCGAGACGAUGCUAUUCCUACAUUGAACAUUAUAGAUCAGACAGAUGAAAUGGUAAUUACGGCCGAGCACCACACACCCGAAGUCUCGACGGCAAAAGGGACAAAAUUGUGGGUCCGUGUUAAAUUCCCAUAUUUCGCCAGUUUUUGGGUAGCGGCCCACUCGGCAGCCGGCCCUGCAAGCGCAGAUCGCGUCCCACAAUAAAGCACGCCCCCUCUCCUAGGGUAUGAGCGUGAGCCCAUCGGGCCUUUUACCGUCUGUGCGGGUUAGACCCGGCGGUUCCAAUUUGCACGGCACGUCGAUCAACACCAGUGCACGGCGGAUGACAUCAUAAAUAAAUUCGAAUAUUACAAAAUACUUACCGAUGAAACGAUAACAGUUGGCUAUUUUAUUUCCUUCCUGAAUGUGAGCUGCAGCUCCAAACUAAUAUAAACCAGACAAUAUAAUCCAAAAAUGGUUAGAUACUUACCUAUCAGAGACAGAGUCUCCUUUCAUCAAGAAGAAGAUAAUUGCGUCCUACAAAAAUAAAUCUUGUAAAAAAAAUUAUCGACAUUAAUUGUAAGUAAAUUUAAUUUUAUCGACAUAUACUAAAGUGAAACCCAACACUAGGCAAUGAAAAACUUGUGACAACCUACGAAAUUACGAAACAAUUUUUGUAUAUGCGUCUUUGUCUAACAUUACGCCGGUUCCGUAAGAUAAAGUAGAGCAGAAUUAUAGAGUUCUGUUGCUAUUUUAGCCUUCCUUCUAUGCUUUAGUUAUUGU